CCGGGGACAACCACGGCUACCAGCAUGAACGACGGCGCUUCAGACCUUUGUAGCGAGGACCCGAUGCCAGGUCCAGUGGACAGACUUCAGACGUCUCUGUGUGUCCGGUCCUGUCCGGUCCUGUCUCUGGUUGCCUGGUUACAGAAGCUGCUGCACCUGAAACUCCACAACGUCUAAAGAAGCAAAAACGUUUGCAAAUGUACAGACUGGAGUGGGAAGAGUGGAACCCCUGGCAGUGGGUACAAGGCAAACUGUGUUUUCUGUUGCUCAUGGACUGGCUGAAGUAAGGCAGCAUCAGGAGGCAAACAUGGAGGAAAUACGAGAACAGAGAGAACCCAACCAGCAGGUCACAGUUUAUCAUCAUCUAAUCAUCUCCUGAAGUCCAUAUGGUCCCUCUCUAUCUCCCCACACAUCCACCAACCACUGGAACACAUCUCCAAAGUUCUGCUGGGCCUGCUCAGCUUCUCCUCAGAAGAAGUUCCGCCACCUACCAGAUGAAGGAGCCUUUUGAGAGGCAGCUGGCAUCGUGAUUGGACUGUACUUUGGUCUGUUCCAAUCCAGCUUCAGCUCCAGAGACGGCAGGCCGGACGAGUCAACGGAGGCCGGGUGGACGAAGACAUGCAGCUGAGUACAAUCCAGAAAACAACAGAGGAGGAGUGCAGCAGCCCAGGACCAGAACAAACAGAGUAGCAUCGUAUGUCUCUUAGAAAACAUCAUAGUAUAGCCUUUGCUAUGAAAAAAACGCCAUCAUAUACAUCGUAUAUUGUACAAAUAACAAGUCAAGGAAAGAGACAUACAUUGUAGAAUUGUAGUAAUUGUCGGCUGACUGAUUUACUGAUUAUCAGUAUUUUAUUUUUUUUGUUGAUUUAUGGUAAUAAAUACAUUUAA